CCAAUAGCGUAUAUUAAAGUUGUUGCAGUUAAGAAGCUCGUAGUUGAAUUUCGGGAUCAGACUGUCGGUCGUGCCUCGGUACGCACUGGCAUUAUUGGUUCCUACCUUCUGAAGAACCGCGAUGUCAUUAAUUUGGUGUCGUGGGGAAUCAGGACUGUUACUUUGAAAAAAUUAGAGUGUUUAAAGCAGGCGCACGCUUGAAUACAUUAGCAUGGAAUAAUGAAAUAGGACGUUUGAUUCUAUUUUGUUGGUUUCUAGGAUCGACGUAAUGAUUAAUAUGGAUAGUUGGGGGCAUUAGUAUUCAAUUGUCAGAGGUGAAAUUCUUGGAUUUAUUGAAGACUAACUACUGCGAAAGCAUUUGCCAAGGAUGUUUUCAUUAAUCAAGAACGAAAGUUAGGGGAUCGAAGACGAUCAGAUACCGUCGUAGUCUUAACCAUAAACUAUGCCGACUAGGGAUCGGAUGAUGUUAAUUUUUUAAUGACUCAUUCGGCGCCUUACG
rnacentral:rRNA from 1 species